rnacentral:lncRNA from 1 species
AAAAAGUUAGUGUAUUGUGGGGUUCACAGGCAUUUAUUGUUACUUAAGAGGAAAUUUCUGAGAAACCAAAUAAAUACAAAACUCUCUAGAACUCACGCAUUAUUCUUUAUGUUUCUUUUACUCAAAAUAUCGUUAAAAUCAAAACAGUUUAUGUAGAUCAAGUCAAGAAAUUUCUUUAAAAAUUUGAUUCAAAAUUAGUUAGUGUUGUUGCUGAGUCAAAGAAAAACGAGUUGAGAUUUGAAGAUGAAGAGAAUCAAAAAAUAUAAAAGAAAAUUCCUUUCAAUCUAAUGCUAGAAAGGAUCAAGAAUUGGGUGAAAUCUUCAUGAAUUUUAUUUUGCUUAUUUAAUCAUCCAUGAUUUCAGGUAUGGGGCUUUCUUUAUCUUCUUAUGAGAUCUUUAUUUUAUUUAUACAAUUAAAUUAAAAAGAUUAUAAAUAUAUGAUAAUUUAAAUUUUCAUAGAUUUUCUUUGCAUGUUAGAUGUAACAUCAAAGUACAAAAAUAAUAUUUUUUGCACUGAUUUACUGCUAAAUUAAGAGUAUAUUAUACAAAAAAUAAGCCCACAAUAUAAUCUACUUCAAAAAAGAAAUUGAAUUCUUCUAAAAUUUAUUUGUUUGAUCCUUGGCUCUGCAUGCAAGCUUCAGAUUGCAGAUUCACGUUUUGAGUCAAAAAUUGGUUGAAAAGUGCUGGGUGAAUCUCCAUGUAUCUGCGUAUUUGAUCUUUAGAAAAUAAAUUAACAUUCUUAAAAAAAAUAUUAAAGUCACUGCUAAUUAUAUUUAAAAAUAGAUUAGAAGAGAAAUCAAACCUCGAAAAUUAAUUUCGGAUUGAUGUUGUAUUUGCUGCACUGCUGUUGACUGUGUGCCGAAAGCCAGUGUUGUAUUCAAAAAUUAAUGAUUCUGUACUAGUGUUGCUCUAUUUUUUAAAGUCAUUUUGUGAUAUUUUUUUCUUUUUUUCUCACCUUUUAGCUUCACUCUGCCAUAUCCAUUUCUCUUUCCUUUUUUCUUAAUUGGAUCCAAAAUUUGAUCUGCACAUCCUGUUAAAGGAUCAACAGAACUGAAUUUGUCUUUAUUUUUAUCACAAUCUCCAUUAUAUAUCUCACUUUGAUGUUUACUAAUCUCAAUUCUUGCUUGAUGUAAAUAUUUUCUAGCAAUUUCUUCGGAAUCCUCAUCAUUUGUUGCUAAAGUCAUAACAUCAAACGACUCUUUCAUUAACCCAUUCAAACGAAUUGCCAUAGAGGAUUGUACUGCUUUCUUCUUUGUGGUAUAUUCCUCAAAUCUGUCUCUACGCUUAGCAUUUUUAGAUUAUCUUUUCAAAAUAUAUUUCUCAAGAAUAUAAGAAAAAUUCAAGUCAAAGAAUAGAACUUUUAGUGUGUGACAACAUAACCAACCCAUGGACUCAAACAUAUGACAGCUACAUAUAAUUGAAUUUUCAAGGGAAUUAAACUGGACAACUUCAGUUUGUCUGUUGUCACCCUUUAAAAUUGUAUAUUUGGUAGUAUUGCCAUUAGUUUUAGCACUGAGUGUUCUUUUGGUUGUCCCUUACAAAAAUUCAUGUUGGAAUCUUGUGUAAAUUCUUCUUGUGUACAUACUAGCAGCAUGUUUUAACACCCCACAAUCUUCUAUGAAUAUUUUAGGCAUUCCUCAAGAUUUAUAAUCCUUAACUGCUUCAAUAUCUUGCAUUCAGUUGUUCGCUGCUCAUAAUGUUUUACAAACUCAGUUAUACUCAUUGCCUUGCAUGUCGUUUCUGUGAAGACCCUAUUUAUGCUCUCAUUUCUUUGAGUUAAUUUGAUGUCUGCCGAGAAAAUUAAAUGGCUAAAUGCAGGACACCAUUUCUUUCUCAAAUCAUGUUUUGAAGUCAAGUAUUACUCGCAUAAUCUCAUUCACUUAUCAUUUUAUGCCACACUAGCUCAAAUUCUUAUUCUAAAUUGCACCCCCACAAGAGUGUGUCAAAAAAGUAUUGAAAGUCUGACUUAAAAUAAAGGUGGGGUAUAUUUUUUUGAGCAUUUCUAUCAAUAAGUCAUUCACUUAGUCGAUGACACGUAGGAAAGACUUCUUUAAUGGCCAAGUUUAUGGUAGGAGCUUGAUCGAUAAAAAUUAUUUUUGGUGUUUUUCCCUCCAUUGCCUUCAAAAAUGCUUGAAAUAGCCAAACAAAUGAACCACUGAUUUCAUUGUAUAAGAAUGCGCAACCAAAAAAUAAUUUUUCCAAUGGUUAUUCACACCAACAAAUAGAGCACAAAUUAUGUCUUAUCUAUUUGUACGAUAAGUAGUGUCAAAAAUCAUCACAUCCCUAAAACACUCAUAGUGCAAUUUAGAUAUACUAUCUCUCCAAAAGAAAUUGCACAACCUACCAUCUUCAUCAACUUGAAAAGAAUAGAAGAAGUUUGAGUCCUCUGAUUGCAAAUGCAUAAAAUGAUUUAUCAAAGUUUGAGCAUUUCCACUACUAAUCAUAUUUCUCUUAUGUGCUUGAACAAAGUUAUGAGCAUCUUAUUCAAUGAAUCCUACAUUUCCAACUCCACCCUCUUCAUUCUGAAGAUAUCGAACAACUUUUUUUUGUAUGAAUACCGACAUCAAUCAUAGAACUAGGAAUAUUUUUAGUAGCAUUUGUAAGCCUACGACGAAAAUGUAUGAAAUAUUUCAAAUUAUCUUCUAUCAUGGAAUGACAAUGAACAUAAUUGAAUUCACAUACUUCCCAUAUUACAUUCAAAAUUUUGAAUUUUAUAUGAGUCAUACAACCACAUCUAUAUUCUAAUCUUUGUUGCUUUCUUUCUUGAAAAGGAGAAAGUUUAUCCGAUUGUCCUUCACAAGAACAAAGAAAUAAACAUUUUGUUGUCUCUCCUUUUACAUUAGUAGUCUUUCCUCCCUUUCGAACACCAAAACCUCUUGCCACGGCAUAUGAGUUAUAUGCAUUGUAUGAUUUCUCUUCUGAAUUAAACUUCAUACCAAUCUCAAAAAUAAAGUUCUUGUUAGUGUUACAAAUAUUAGGCUCGUUAAAAUUGAAAUCUAUAAUAAUAAUUUUUAAUUGUAAGUAUCGAAAUUUGAUAGAUAAAUGAACUAUAGAAAAUAUUUAUUUAAUAGAAAUCUCUACACUUUAGUUAUCUUCUUGGGUAGAGGAGUCUUUGUCUUUGUCAACAUGUGCAUCUUCCAUUUAUUUUCAAGAACAGUAUGCAUAAGACAAAAUUUACAACAUUAAAAAUUUAAUCUUUUCACAAAAUUAUUUUAAUAUUUAAAAUAUUUAUUUUAUGUUAUAUAGUGUCUAAUUAAAAUGUAAUUUUAAAUAUGUGAUCAAACUUUUUGAAUUUUGCAGCAAAAUUCUUAUUAUCAAGUUUUUAUGAUAUUUUUACAUUUAUAUUUAAUAACAAAAGUUAUUUUUUAUGUUUACAGGAUCAACUGACCAUGAAGAUCAUUCAAUAAAUUAUACACAAGAUAUGAACACAAUGAAAAUUUUGAGAAGUGAACCAUAUAUGUUAGCAUUAGAUAUUUUUAUACGAAAAUA